rnacentral:tRNA from 1 species
GGUGGAGUAGCUUAGUAGUAGAGUAUUUGCCUAGUGUGCAUAAGACCCUGGGUUCAACGCCAGCACCACGC